rnacentral:antisense_RNA from 2 species
CUUGAGCGAGCCCAGCCACAGCGGACGCGCGGGGUCGCGGUCCUGGCCGUAGGUGGCCAGCAGCGCCUGGGCCUC